rnacentral:rRNA from 1 species
UACAGAGGGGGCAAGCGUUAUUCGGAAUUAUUGGGUUUAAAGGGUGCGUAGGCGGCUUUGUAAGUCAGUGGUGAAAUAUGUCAGCUUAACUGAGAGGGUGCCAUUGAUACUGCAGAGCUUGAGUACAGAUGAGGUAGGCGGAAUUGACGGUGUAGCGGUGAAAUGCUUAGAUAUCGUCAAGAACACCUAUAGCGAAGGCAGCUUACUAGGCUGUAACUGACGCUCAUGCACGACAGCGUGGGGAUCAAACAGG